UGGGGUAUAGCCAAGAGGUAAGGCACCGGAUUCUGAUUCCGGGAUUCCCAGGUUCGAAUCCUGGUACCCCAG
rfam:secondary endosymbiont of Trabutina mannipara isolate TRABTM genome assembly, chromosome: I